UCUCAUGAACUUAGGCAAGUUAUUUAAACUUUCAGAGCCCCAGUUUUUUUCACUUACUUCUUCACUUGUUUAUUCAUACAUGUAUGAUAUAUUGUUGACUUUUUGUCAUUAAUAAUACCUAGUUUAUGUGAUUAUUAUUAUGAAAUAGUGAAGUUAAUUUUUAUCACAGUGCAUGAAACACAGUAAUCAUAACUAAUGUUAAGUGAUGAUUACCAUGUGCUUGGCAUUGUAGGCUAUCAGUAUGAAUUAACUAUUAUUGUUGUUAUUAUUAUCAUUAAUUUAACCAAAUUCUACCAUUUCUGAAUUUCUACAAAACUAUGUCACACUAUUUUAAAAUACUUGGUUAGUCUUGGCUUAUGUUAUAAUUUUUCAUCCAGAGAGUAAAUAUUUUAAGAUAAUAUUUCUGUUUUUCUCAUUAUCUCCAGCAGAGAAUUGGAUACAUAGAAGCUAGGCAAUACAAAUUGAUUAGUAGAGUCAUAACUGAGAAAAGCUGAUGUGUUUGGGUUCAUCUUGUUUUUGGAGAGUAACUUAGCUUGGAGAUGUGCCAUUGUCCUGACCUUUAUUAACAUAUGUAUGCAGUCACACACUGUAUUUGUUCUCUGGAUGACACUUUAGAUAAUCAUUAAUGAAUCGUAGAGUCCUUG
rnacentral:lncRNA from 1 species